CCUACGGGUGGCAGCAGUGGGGAAUAUUGGGCAAUGGGCGCAAGCCUGACCCAGCAACGCCGCGUGAAGGAUGAAGGCCUUCGGGUUGUAAACUUCUUUUCUAAGGGACGAAGCAAGUGACGGUACCUGAGGAAUAAGCCUCGGCUAACUACGUGCCAGCAGCCGCGGUAAUACGUAGGUGGCAAGCGUUAUCCGGAUUGACUGGGUGUAAAGGGUGCGUAGGUGGGAUGGCAAGUCAGUUGUGAAAACCAAGGGCUCAACCUUGGGCCUGCAGUUGAAACUGUUUGACUUGAGUACUGGAGAGGCAGACGGAAUUCCUAGUGUAGCGGUGAAAUGCGUAGAUAUUAGGAGGAACACCAGUGGCGAAGGCGGUCUGCUGGACAGCAACUGACGCUGAGGCACGAAAGCGUGGGGAGCAAACAGGAUUAGAUACCCCUGUAGUC
rnacentral:rRNA from 1 species